GAUGAACGCUGGCGGCGUGCCUAACACAUGCAAGUCGAACGAGAAGUUAACCGCUGAUUCCUUCGGGAUGAGGAGGUUAGCAGAAAGUGGCGAACGGGUGAGUAACGCGUGGGUAAUCUACCCUGUAAGUGGGGGAUAACCCUCCGAAAGGAGGGCUAAUACCGCAUAAUAUCUUCACUUCUAAAAGAAGAGAAGAUUAAAGAUGGCCUCUGUCUUAAGCUAUCACUUCAGGAUGAGCCUGCGUCCUAUUAGUUAGUUGGUGGGGUAAUGGCCUACCAAGACCACAAUGGGUAGCCGGUCUGAGAGGAUGUACGGCCACACUGGGACUGAGAUACGGCCCAGACUCCUACGGGAGGCAGCAGUGGGGAAUAUUGCGCAAUGGGGGAAACCCUGACGCAGGGACGCCGCGUGGAUGAUGAAGGCCUUUGG
rnacentral:rRNA from 1 species